AGGCCUUAGCUUAAUCAAAGUGUCUGAGUUGCAAUCAGGAGAUGUAGUAUAUUACAGGCCUUCA
rnacentral:tRNA from 1 species